rnacentral:misc_RNA from 1 species
UUACCGAAGUCGGCUAUGUCGGCCGCGAUGUCGAGCAGAUCGUGCGCGAUCUGGUGGAAGUCGGGAUCAUGCAGACCCGCGAGCGCAAACGAAAAGACGUGCAGGCGCGUGCGCAACAGGCCGCCGNNNNNNCGACGCGCUGGUUGGCGCCAACGCAAGCUCUGCAACGCGCGAUUCGUUCCGCAGAAAGUUGCGGGCCGGCGAGCUGAACGACAAGGAAAUCGAGAUCGAGACA